AAUCUGAUCCACAAAGACUGGGGGUCAGCCUGAUGAACCAAAUUACUCAGUAAUCUGAUCCAUGAAGACUGGGGGUCAGCCUGAUGAACCAAACUACUCAGUAAUCUGAUCCACAAAGACUGGAGGUCAGCCUGAUGAACCAAACUACUCAGUAAUCUGAUCCAUGAAGACUGGGGGUCAGCCUGAUGAACCAAACUACUCAGUAAUCUGAUCCACAAAGACUGGGGGUCAGCCUGAUGAACCAAAUUACUCAGUAAUCUGAUCCAUGAAGACUGGGGGUCAGCCUGAUGAACCAAACUACUCAGUAAUCUGAUCCAUGAAGACUGGGGGUCAGCCUGAUGAACCAAACUACUCAGUAAUCUGAUCCAUGAAGACUGGGGCCUGAUGAACCAAACUACUCAGUAAUCUGAUCCACGAAGACUGGGGCCUGAUGAACCAAACUACUCAGUAAUCUGAUCCAUGAAGACUGGGGCCUGAUGAACCAAACUACUCAGUAAUCUGAUCCAUGAAGACUGGGGGUCAGCCUGAUGAACCAAACUACUCAGUAAUCUGAUCCAUGAAGACUGGAGUUCAGCCUGAUGAACCAAACUACUCAGUAAUCUGAUCCAUGAAGACUGGGGGUCAGCCUGAUGAACCAAACUACUCAGUAAUCUGAUCCAUGAAGACUGGGGGUCAGCCUGAUGAACCAAACUACUCAGUAAUCUGAUCCACAAAGACUGGAGGUCAGCCUGAUGAACCAAACUACUCAGUAAUCUGAUCCAUGAAGACUGGGGGUCAGCCUGAUGAACCAAACUACUCAGUAAUCUGAUAUCUGUUUUAACAAAACGUUUUUAUUUUUGUACUUAUGUAUUGUAAUGAGUUUUUUUUAGGUGAUU